GCCAUAUCAAGAACAGUAUCCCUAUUAGGACUGUCUCUGAGGUUGAAGCUGCACUGGAGGUAUCAAGGAUGAUGAGCCUGGACAUAGUGGUGAUGGCGCUGACGCUCUUGUUACCAUGUCAAAAGGCUGCUGGCGCCUUACCUCCGUCUACAGAAGGAUGUGGAGAGUUACUUAAUCCCUACCAGGCAGCUUCAGUGGUACUUAAACCUACUUCAAAACCUCGCAACUCCAUCAUCCUCCUCACUGAUGACAAGAACGCCCACUUCUCUGAUU